AACGAACGCUGGCGGCAUGCCUAACACAUGCAAGUCGAACGAGACCUUCGGGUCUAGUGGCGCACGGGUGCGUAACGCGUGGGAACCUGCCUUUAGGUUCGGAAUAACUCAGAGAAAUUUGAGCUAAUACCGGAUGAUGUCUUCGGACCAAAGAUUUAUCGCCUUUAGAUGGGCCCGCGUUGGAUUAGCUAGUUGGUGGGGUAAAGGCCUACCAAGGCGACGAUCCAUAGCUGGUCUGAGAGGAUGAUCAGCCACACUGGGACUGAGACACGGCCCAGACUCCUACGGGAAGCAGCAGUGGGGAAUAUUGGAAAAUGGGCGAAAGCCUGAUCCAGCAAUGCCGCGUGAGUGAUGAAGGCCUUAGGGUUGUAAAGCUCUUUUACCCGAGAUGAUAAUGACAGUAUCGGGAGAAUAAGCUCCGGCUAACUCCGUG
rnacentral:rRNA from 1 species